rnacentral:lncRNA from 1 species
CACAGCCACAGCAACUCGGAAUCCGAGCUGUGUCUGCGACACACACCACAGCUCACAGCAAUGCCUGAUCCUUAACCCAUGGAGCGAGGCCAGGGAUCAAACCCUCAACCUCACGGUUUCUAGUCAGAUUUGCCUCCAUUGCGCCACCACGGGAACUCCUCUUUCAUCUCUUUAGUUAUUGCAGUUUCCUUUGUUCAGUUUUAAUUUCAAAGUUAUCAUGGCCUAAUAAAAUAUUGAGAAGUAUUCUGCCUUCGCAUUCUCUGGAAGGGUUUGUUUAAAUUUGGCGUUGUUUCUUCCUUCAAAUUUUUGGGGAGAAAUAUCAAUACAUUAACCUGAGCCUGGAGUUUUCUUUGUGUGAAGGUUUUUAGUGACAUAUUGAAUACAUAGAAAGCAAUUCCGUUUUGAAGAUUUCUUCCUAUGCUGCUUUUGAUAAAGUAAGGGCAAUGACAGCGGUUGCACGGGGCCAAGGCUUGCAGAUCCUUCCCGUUUCUCUGGGAGGCUUGAGAAUGAGAUCCUAGCUCUUGAGAAUCUUUGCUGCAAAUGCCCGGGAAAGAGGAGCUCAGUUUUGCAAACAUUGUCUUGUUCAUGCUCUGCUUUCGCUUACUAAAGAAGGGGUGGGAGGAGGGAGGAAAGAGAUACUUUGAUCUAUGUCUGGGGGUACCCUGGGGACAUGUGUAUGGAAUUACACUGUCUCUUAUAAGCACUUUUAGUUUGCUCUGCCGGCAAUUCAAGGAUAGCAGAAGGCAAGAUACCCCAUACUAUCAAGAUGGCCUCCACUCAAAGUGCUGGGAAAUGCCACUUGUAAUCUUAAAACAAAACCCACCUUCUCUCUUCAAGAAUAGUCAGCAGUUUAAUUAUGCUAAGUACUUUUCACCCCAGGAGGCUUCAGGUUGCUGUAUUAAGCAACAGAACAGCAUUCUUUUAAGGCUUAAGGCUAUACAUUUAGAAAGCUGAUAAGUGUCUCACACCAGAAAGCCUAAAGUCUUUUAGGGUAAUUUCCAAGGAUUGCCUUUUAAAAACUCACUUUCCAAUUCAAGCCAAGAGAAGCCCGAAUACCCUAGCUCUUUACAAAUGAUCCUUGGCCUUGCUAAGAUUUCCUAGACAAAUAUGGACAGAGAUUUUAGAACAAACAAAGACAAACAUUUGGUUGAACAUGUAAAUGCAAUUGUUCAAGCUGUAAAUUAAAUUCAAUUACGGACAGAGAGUAGUAUCUUAAGCUUCAUGCUAAUUAUGCUUGUGAGUUUCAACUCAUUAAACUUGGAUAAUGCUCAGAAAGAAGGAAUCUGGCAGCAGCUAGCCAUGCAUCCCACCGGCCUGUCCCAUUGGUGGCUCUCGUCCCUGGAGUUCUGCAUGUUGGCAAAGCUGUUUGACAUCCAGAGGGUCUAAGAAAAGUAGAGAGAGACAUCCAGGGUGUGAGGAUGGAAAGCAGAGGGCUGAUGUGCACCACACAAAGGUAUUGAAAAAGGGUUGCUUUGGGGUACAAAGAAGCAAAGGAGGCCUUCCAGGGAAAUGCUAAUACUCGGAGGUGAUAAAUCACCUCGCAUCCAACCAUCCCACCCCCAGGGCAACAGUCCAAAGCCAGGCAGAUUCCUUGGUCCUCUCCUUGGAGGCGCCAUGCCCCUCUUGGCUGGGGCUCUCCUUGGGAAGCAGCGCUGACUCAGCACCACGUUGGGUCGCUGGGGCCUUGUCACCUCUUUCAGCUUUCCUUUCCUUUUUGCUGUUUACUCUCAACUCGACUUUGACCCCUUGGUGACAGUUAUCUGAGAAAUGCAUUCCCGGGGAGGGGAUGACAGUAGGCUCACCAGCCAGGAAUGUUUGCAUUUUAUAAAGACUGCAUGGGGAGCACAACAUCAGCACGGAGAACAAACUGCUGAUUCUGAAAUGUCAAGCAUGCAUCAGGGAGACCUGAGGGGGAGAAGCAGCCCUUCCUACAACCUUCAGAUCGCAGUCUGUGGGGCAUUCCUACCACUAGACUGGCCCUGAUCCCAGGCACUGGGUUUGCUCAAAAGCUGUUGGUCCUAAAAACCCGGCGUUGGACUAGGCUCCUGCUCUGGAGGUGAUCUUAUAAGCGAGGGAGAGAGAGAGAGAAUGUGUACCUCUUGAAGAGCAGACAGUUGUGGGAGCCAAAAUCACUUUGAGCCAAAGGAUUGUGUCACAUCCUAUACAUCCAAGAUAAUUUCAGAUACUCUUCACAAUGUUUUGAAGACUUGACACUGUGUCCCUGUAUCAGUCAUCUCUUGCUGCAUAACAAAGCAGCCCUGAACAUAGUGGCUUAAACAACCCCUUAAUUGAGUUAAUGAGCUAAUGGUCAUUAUCCCACUGAGCCAUUCUUGGGCAGCCCCAGUGGUCUGUGCUGGGCUCUGUCACACGUCUGCACUCCCUUGAUGAGCUGGCAGGAGGCUGGCUUGUCCCAGUGGCCUCAUUCGCAAGGCUGGUGGUUGGCUGGAUGGUGCUUGGGGCAGUGGGGGCACUGGACCACAUGCCUCUCAUCAUCCAUUGGGCUAGCCUGGGCACCUUAGCCUGACAAAGGCAGGGAUCCAAGGGUAGCUAAGGGGCAAGCUCAAUGCGCAAGCACUUUUCCAGUGUCUGCUUGUGUCACCUUUGCUGCUGUCCCUUCAGCUCAAGCAAAUCACAUAGCCCAGCCUGACUCAUUGACAGAGGAGCCUACCCAGAGAUGUAGAUGUAUCUGUGAAUUUCUAUUAGCACCGUGCUCUAACCCACUGAGCUGACCGGCUACCUGUGAAUGUCACUGACUGAACUCAGAUAAUACUCAGAAGGAGGGAUUCUGGCAGCACCAAGAGGGAUCAUUACUGGAAAAAUCAACGCAAGCUAUCUAUCAUAUAUACAAGGUUUUCCACAAAGAAACAAAAAUAAGGAGUCAUGCCUUCUAAAGCAGGGCUUCCUAGGCUUUUGAGUUUCAUGGACUCAUAAUAUUUAAGAAGGAAGAAGGGAGAGGGAAAGAAAGCAUAGGAUUGUUGCGAUUUUUAUUUUGUCAACUAAGAAUAUUAAAUAAUAGGCCAUUACCAUCUACCCCAUCCCAAUUAUUUUGACAAAAGAAAGGACAUUUCAAUACCAAACUAGGAGCAAGGCAACAUUUUAGAAUACCCUAGUCCUCUAAAGAGAAUAAAUUUGGUUUUAUGAAAAGCUCUCUGCCUUGCCUUCAUUUUCUCAUUUCUCUGAAGAUCAAUGGAAACCUCAAUUAGAAAAGCCCUAGUUGGGUAACUGGCAUUUCAAAGCCACUGGGCUAGAGAAAGAUAAUAGGAUAGGGCAGACUUUGCUGGUGAGGAAUCAUUAAGUGUGCAUUGAGUGUGUGUGAGUGCACCGUCUCCGUGCUUGAGGGAGUGAGAAGAGGGGGAGACAGCACUUUUCCUCAAGACAGUAGUUCAGCCUGGGAGUAAAGACCAGGUCUUCACAGAAAUAGUCAAGAAUGUGGAAAAGAGAAAUUCAGAGUGCAGAAAAGAAUAGCAAAAUUAAGAGGUGAGGCUGGAAUACCAUCAUGGUUCCAGCUCAAAAGCAAGAGCGACAACCCAUAUUGCGAAUUCACUUGCAUUGAAUUCAUUAAUCCCGGCUUCCAUGGAAGCUUCCUAGAAUGGACUUUGCAGACAACUUCCUCACCUGUCUCCAGUGUCCUGUCUUGCUGGUUCCGAUAACUGCUCAGCUGGGCAAGUGUGUGUCUACUUCGAAGCCACAUGCAACCGUGACCUGAGCUGCGCUGGCCGUGUUACCAGUGUGGUCCUCCUGAUGAGUCUCACGUUCACCCCUCUGGAUGUGCUGAUUACACUGAAAUCAAGAAUGAGGAAAUACAAUUUCCAAGCCCGCUGCUUUCUAAGAUUCUUGGAAUCCUUUUGCAGAAAAGAUCACCGUUGAGAAGCACAGCCACGCAAGGAUGCUGUCUUUCUCCCUCUUUGUGAGAACCUGCCGUCAUUCUCUUUAGUGAAGUAGGGAGUAGGUGAGCCCAGAAUGGUUUGUCUAACUUGGGAGGUUUUUUCCUAACUUCUUGCCUGGGUUCCUGAUUCUCAGCCUAGCUGCAGGAAGCCCUCAGUUGAGGAUUUGCCCACCAGAAGCUGAAGAGAAACCAAUGCCAACAUUUGAUCACUUAAUUGUUAUUUGAUAUCAUCCACCACUCAAAUAUGAUACCUUCUGUAGGAAAGCACCUUUGGGGAGAAACCUAAUUUUAGAAUGGUUAUAAAGACAGAAACGUUCAAUACAGAAAUGAAACCUCAGGGCCCAAUAUUUUGCUCCUUUUCAUAGAUAUCGUUCUCUUUCGAGGCUUGUCUCUUAGCCAGAAGAAUGGCACAGCGGCUAACCUCCUUCACUAUUUCCAAGCAAAUGGUUCUUGGCUACUUAGAAUGCUUCUGAUGGCAGCAGGGCGGAUUGGUGAGUUUAGAAAGAUCACACAAUUCCAAAUGACACCUCCUUCACUCUCAUCCCUGAGAGAGAAAUAGCCCAUUUGCAUGGCAACGAUCUUGUCCUAGUUUGGGACUUUUCAGAUUAGGAAACUGAAAUCCUAAUAUCUACAACAAGGAUACGCAUCUAGGUCUUUGGAAGGUCCAUGUAUUCCUCUCUGAAAUCUCCUCACCAAACGAGGUUUAGCCUAAGGAAAAGGCCCUGGCAGAAAUUGUGUGUUGUGUUGCCUCUUGUUCUGCAAGCCUCCGAAAACACUCCCCCUGAACAGAGCCACGCCCUCCGUGACAACUGCCCCGGUUCAUUGCUUCUAGUUCAUUCACCCAGAACCAAGUUUUUCCCACAAUCACAGGUGAUCAAAGCCUGACUCCUGGAAGCACUUCUUUAAUGUAUAAGCUCAGGUUUCUAUAAGGAAGAGAGUCAUGCGUUUCACCAGGCGAUGACCUCCAUAAUUUGAACCAAACCUAAUCAAAGGGAUUUCCCUUCCAAAGUGCUUUGCUCCAAAUUGCUUUCCUUUAACCUGGGACAUCUGUCACUCCUGUGCCUGAAGCUGCCCACCUGUCCAGCUCUUUUAAGUCACUACCCUAUACCAUUUUCAGGUAAGCAGAGAAUAGGUGCUGCUAGGAGCUUGAAUUAAACAUCAAAAGAUCACUUGUCUGCAUCAGCCUUCAGCAGGAAUACAGUCAACACUAACAGAUGGCCUUUUGCUCUCCAGAAGUGACCGACUCUCUGCAGAGGUCGCCAGGAUGAGAAAGUACAAUGCCAGUCCCCCUUUCCUGAUGCCUGGCCUUCUCCUGCCAUUGGGCCCCUCUGGUCCUCAAAUCACGCUUCAGUUUUAAGACUUAGAGAACUAUUUGUAAUUCCCUCUUUGCGUGAACACAUUUUUUUUUCAUGUGAACAUAGGACCCAAAUUUCUCAUUCGCAACAGUUUUCAUAGUGGCAACCAAGUAAAAUUUUCACUCUCAAUUCUGGAACGAGUGUCCAGUUUUCCCACUUUUGUCUACUGUGACUGUGGCAAAACUUGGAUCAUGGAUUCUAUCCUUGGCCCUGGGCCUUCCACAUACUGUGGAUAUAGACAAAAAAGAAAGAAAGAAAGAAAGAGAAUGAUAAUGUGACCUGUCUUUCUAGCACUUGUGAGAAAGGUUGGUCUCUGCUUCCCAUGAGGCCUCCACUACUCUUUAGCUUGUGUCAGAUCUGGCAAUGGCUCCAAGGAACUUCAGGCUUUCACUUGUGGAGAUCUGCCUAUCAGUUUAAAACCCAGAAUAAUCUAAAGAUUCUCCUUUAAAAACCGAUCCAAAUUCACUCCAUUCUGCAGUAGAGAAACCCUUAGCACAAGAUUGCAUUUGUAGAAUGCAUAUAUAGGCAUGACUGGGUCACUUUGCUAUAGAGCAGACAUUAAUAGAACAUAGUAAAUCAACUAUACUUUAAUAAAACAUUUGUUAGAAAUAAAAAAAAUUGCAUGUAGAGGAAUUGCUGGUCUCUUGGUCACCGAGCUCAUUACACCAGCUUUUGCACCUCUUCUAUAGGAUCUGAGAAGAUGGAGGGAAGAGAAUUAUUUCUCCCCCAUUUUCAGUUCCCGCCGGGGUUGGCAGGUGCCAGUUUUAUCUCGGCCACCUCUGCUCCCAGGGUCACCCAGAGGGGUUAGGGAACAGAGGGGACAUACAUUCGAUCUAUUGGCCGUUAUGAACCGAUUCCUCCCGUUGCACUGUCUGGAGGUCUGGAGAUGAUUUCUUAGCAUUUUAAGAGAGCAGCUAUAUCAUCGGGGUGAAGUGGUCACACCCAUCAGGGCCCCGGUGCUGAGAAGGGGAGGAGCCCAGCGAAAGCUCAGAUGUGCGCCUUCUCUGCAGGAGGUGAGAAAUGCCUAAAGGCACACGGGGCAGAGUGCGUGGGGCAGAGUGCGUGGAGAGGGGCCGGGGGGUGUGGAGCUGAAGACAAAUUUCCCCAAGCAGGGAAAUCCUCCUGGGUUAAGUCAUAUGAAUGGAAACGGCCUUGGAGGAGGUCCCACAGGCCAUCCUAUGCUUCGUGUGCGUUGUUAGUAGAAAAAGAAUUUCCUGAAUAAGCACAAUUAGGCAAACACAUUUUUGU